rnacentral:lncRNA from 1 species
UCUUUACAGAUAAGGAGACCAGCCAAGGCUGGAGCCCACUCCCUCAGCUUGCAGGGAGGUGUGGAGGGAGAGGCGCCAGCGGGAACCGGGGCUGCGUGUGGCGCUUGCGGGCCAGCUGGAGUUCCGGGUGGGCGUGGGCUUGGCGGGCCCCGCACUCGGAGCAGCCAGCCAGCCUUGCUGGCCUCGGGCAAUGGGGGACUUAGCACCCGGGCCAGUGGCUGCGGAGGGUGUACUGGGUCCCCCAGCAGUGCCGGCCCACCGGCGCUGUGCUCGGUUUCUCGCCGGGCCUUAGCUGCCUUCCCGCGGGGCAGGGCUCGGGACCUGCAGCCCGCCAUGCCUGAGCCUCCCACCCCCUCCCCGACGAGCGCCGCCUCCCGCUCCACGGCGCCCGGUCCCAUCGACCACCCAAGGGCUGAGGAGUGCGGGCGCAGGGCACCGGGACCGGCAGGCAGCUCCACCUGCAGCCCAGGUGCGGGAUCCACUGGGUGAAGCCAGCUGGGCUCCUGAGUCUGGUGGGGACGUGGAGAGUCUUUAUAUCUAGCUCGGAUUGUAAACACACCAAUCAGCACCCUGUGUUUAGCUCAAGAUUUGUGAAUGCACCAAUCGGCACUCUGUAUCUAGCUGCUCCGAUGGGGCCUUGGAGAACCUGUGUGUCGAAACUCUGUAUCUAACUAAUCUGAUGGGGACGUGGAGAACCUUUGUGUCUAGCUCAGGGAUUGUAAACGCACCAAUCAGCGCCCUGUCAAAACAGGCCACUCAGCUCUACCAAUCAGCAGGUUGUGGGUGGGGCCAGAUAAGAGAAUAAAAGCAGGCUGCCCGAGCCAGCAGCGGCAACGUGCUUGGGUCCCCUUCCGUGUUGUGGAAACUUUGUUGUUUCACUCUUCCCAAUAAAUCUUGCUGCUGCUCACUCUUUGGGUCCGUGCUGCCUUUAUGAGCUGUAACACUCACCGUGAAGAUCUGCAGCUUCACUCCUGAACCCAGCGAGACCACGAGCCCACCGGGAGGAAUGAACAACUCCAGACGCGCUGCCUUAAAGGCUGUAACACUCACCGCGAAGGUCUGCAGCUUCACUCCUGAGCCAGCGAGACCACGAACCCACCAGAAGGAAGAAACUCCGAACACAUCUGAACAUCAGAAGGAACAGACUCCAGACGCGCCACCUUAAGAGCUGUAACACUCACCGUGAGGGUGCGCGGCUUCGUUCUUGAAGUCAGUGAGACCAAGAACCCACCAAUUCCGGCCACAAUGCUAUUUCGCAUUCACUCAUCCACUUGAUAGUCAUGCACUUCUUAUUUAGUUAGUACCUAGCAUGUGCCACAGAUGGUAAUAAAUGAGGAACAGUUCCUGCCCUCAUGGAGUCUAGAGGGGGUGGUAGAUAUUGACAAAUGAACACAUAAACAUCCAGUCACGACUGCAGCCAGUGUGAGGCAGGACAGAGUGGGAGUCAGGGGAAAGUCCCAAUGAGCAGAGGCAGCUCAGGGACCCUCUCAGGGGCAUCUGGGCCUGGGACUUGUUGGGCACUGUUGUGAGACUGUGCCCUGCACUAAGGGCUCACUCAGUUGGUAUGGUUGCCUGGCGGGCUGCUGGCCCAUGAGAAGGGGCCAGCCAGGUACAGGUGCAUGGCAGGGUGAGGAGCUCUUGAGGUAGGGGGGCAGGGAGCGUGAAAACACAGAGAAAGGAGAGCUCCAGAACACAUGAGGCCUGAAGAGGCCAGGGAAGGCAGGCAUAGGAUGGCUUGGAGCAGGGCUCAUGGGCCACUGGACACUGGAACUUCAGCCUUGGCACAUUGAGCAGCUGGGGAAGGCUGCACGCAGGAUUGGGAUUUUUACAAGCAGUCACCGUGGCUCUGAAUAUCCAUCUUUGCUCCUCUGGCCCUGCCCUGCCCUGACCCCCAAUCUCCCCAUGACUUCUCUAAGCCUAUUUCCUGAUCUGUCAAACAGGGAUUAAUACCAUCUGUCUCAAGGCUUUAAAAAAUUUAUUUUUAAUUAGACAAGGUGACACAUGUAAGUCCCUAUGAGAAUCUCUCUCAUGUUCUCUGUGCAUAGUAAUAGCAAUAGCCAAGAUUUAUGUGACAUUUGCUGUGAGCCAGCACUCUGUUAAGAGGUUGACCCGUUUUCACUCGUCUGUUCCCCAGGACGAUUCUGCUACUACAAAGAGGUGUUAUUAGGAUUCCCACUUUACAGAUGCAGAGAGCUGAGGCACGAAGUUGCGUGCCAAGGCAACCCACCUGGUAAGAGGGGGAAGGAUGGGGCUUGGCAAAUGAGGUUUGAGUUCCAGGGACACACUCUCCAGGUGGCCCUCAACGGUUGCCUUUUCCGUUCUUUCGGGGCUGGUGGAGGCACUGCCAGAAGAGGGCUGGAGAGUUUCGUGGAGGGUGGGAAAUUUGAGAGAGGAGGCUGGUUUAGAAUAACAAAGUCACCCGUGCUGGUGCUGAGCGCCUGCUUGCAGGACUCCAAAGUCCAACUCAUCCUGGUGUGCUGAGGACUGUCUUGGUUUUAGUGCUGGAAGUCCCACACCCUGGGAACCCUUCUGUCCCACGAUGCCAGGAUGGAUGGUUACCUUACGAGGACCCUCGUGAUGCCUGUCGCAGGCCUCCCACCAGCAGAUCGGCCUUGUCGCAAAGCCUUUUCUGGUAGAUGUAGGAUAGCCCUCUAUGCUCUUUGGGGCUUUGGAAUGGGAGGAGCAGAAGUGCACAGGUGGGUGUCGUGGGACCUCAUCUGUGUUCCUUGCAGCACCUCAGCCCCUCUGCAAUUUACCCUCAGCGCCGCUUCUCACCAAGCAAAACACACAUACAUGGUCUUGAAAAUAAAUCCAGUAACCUCUAGCCUUGAAGACCCCUGCCAAGGGCCCCCCAGCUUCACAGGGGUUGGUCCUGGGCAUGAACAGCAGGGGCCACUACCCGGCUGUGGGCAGGUGGCUGAGGGAAGCGUGCAGCGACCAUCUGCUGCCCCAGGGACUCUGUGGCUCCCUCUGCAGCUCCCUCUCCGACUCCUGGGAGGAAGAACAGGCACCUCCGCCCCAGAGCUAGUUCUGUCCCCUGGGCUCUGUCUCUGCUGUCUGCAAGGCUGGAUCAGGUGUUCAUGAUGGAAACCACAGCCUGGAUGCAGGGACAGAGCCGGGGGUGGGCACUCAUCACCGUCCUGGCCAUGGAGGCUGGACUGUCCCCUAUCACAUCACUGGAGGCGCGGCUCUGCAUGGUGGGGUGGGCGUGGUAAGCAGAGGUCAGUGUCGUCAGGGUUGGAGGUGGGACCCAGGAAGGAGCUCAGCCUGUGUGCACAGCAUCCCUCGUGACCCUCUAAAGUCUGCCAGGAUGUGUUAUUCCACUUCACGGAUGAAAAAUGCGGUCCUCAGCGGUUAAGUGGUUUGCUCCAGACACACAGGGAGCUAGUGGCAGACCUGAAAUAGAAGCAGGUCUCCCAAUUCCCAGCCUGCGCCUCAGCUUUCCUGUGGGCCUCUGGGACUUCCCUCUACCCAAAG